GCCCCUGUAGCUCAACGGAUAGAGCGUCGGUUUGCGGAACCGGAAAUACCAGUUCGAUUCUGGUCGGGGGCA
rnacentral:tRNA from 1 species